AUUGAACGCUGGCGGCAGGCCUAACACAUGCAAGUCGAGCGGAUGAGAGGAGCUUGCUUCUCGAUUCAGCGGCGGACGGGUGAGUAAUGCCUAGGAAUCUGCCUGGUAGUGGGGGACAACGUUUCGAAAGGAACGCUAAUACCGCAUACGUCUUACGGGAGAAAGCAGGGGACCUGCGGGCCUUGCGCUAUCAGAUGAGCCUAGGUCGGAUUAGCUAGUGGGUGGGGUAAUGGCUCACCAAGGCGACGAUCCGUAACGGGUCUGAGAGGAUGAUCAGUCACACUGGAACUGAGACACGGUCCAGACUCCUACGGGAGGCAGCAGUGGGGAAUAUUGGACAAUGGGCGAAAGCCUGAUCCAGCCAUGCCGCGUGUGUGAAGAAGGUCUUCGGAUUGUAAAGCACUUUAAGUUGGGAGGAAGGGUUGUAGAUUAAUACUCUGCAAUUUUGACGUUACCGACAGAAUAAGCACCGGCUAACUCUGUGCCAGCCGCCGCGGUAAAAC
rnacentral:rRNA from 1 species